rnacentral:rRNA from 1 species
CCCUUAGAUGUUCUGGGCCGCACGCGCGCUACACUGAUGCAUUCAACGAGUAAUCUUUGACCUUGGUCGACAGAUCUGGGUAAUCUUUUGAAAUUGCAUCGUGAUGGGGCUUGCGGGUUGCAAUUACCCGCACCAACGAGGAAUUCCUAGUAAACGCAAGUCAUCAACUUGCAUUGAUUACGUCCCUGCCCUUUGUACACACCGCCCGUCGCUCCUACCGAUUGAGCGGUCCGGUGAAGACUCAGGAGAUGGGCGCGUGCUUGGUUCGCCAACUGCGCUGCCUGCCAAAGUUGUCUAAACCUUAUCGCUUCGAGGAAGGAGAAGUCGUAACA